GAUGAACGCUGGCGGCGUGCCUAAUACAUGCAAGUCGAGCGAACAGACGAGGAGCUUGCUCCUCUGACGUUAGCGGCGGACGGGUGAGUAACACGUGGAUAACCUACCUAUAAGACUGGGAUAACUUCGGGAAACCGGAGCUAAUACCGGAUAAUAUAUUGAACCGCAUGGUUCAAUAGUGAAAGACGGUUUUGCUGUCACUUAUAGAUGGAUCCGCGCCGCAUUAGCUAGUUGGUAAGGUAACGGCUUACCAAGGCAACGAUGCGUAGCCGACCUGAGAGGGUGAUCGGCCAAACUGGAACUGAGACACGGUCAAGACUCCUACGGGAGGCAGCAGUAGGGAAUCUUCCGCAAUGGGCGAAAGCCUGACGGAGCAACGCCGCGUGAGUGAUGAAGGUCUUCGGAUCGUAAAACUCUGUUAUUAGGGAAGAACAAAUGUGUAAGUAACUAUGCACGUCUUGACGGUACCUAAUCAGAAAGCCACGGCUAACUACGU
rnacentral:rRNA from 1 species